rnacentral:piRNA from 1 species
UAAAGGAGCAAUUAAGGGAAGAUAAGAGA